UACAGAGGUCCCGAGCGUUGUUCGGAUUCACUGGGCGUAAAAGGGUGCGUAGGUGGUGAGGAAAGUCGGAUGUGAGAUCGUCCGGGCUCCAACCGGAAACUGCAUUGGAAACUACCUUGCUUGAGGGUUUGAGGGGGACUGGAAUUCUCGGUGUAGCAGUGAAAUGCGUAGAUAUCGAGAGGAACACCAGUGGCGAAGGCGGAGUCCCUGGAA
rnacentral:rRNA from 1 species